rnacentral:rRNA from 1 species
UUAAGCUAUAAAGAGCACAGGGUGGAUGCCUAGGCACUGAGAGCCGAUGAAGGACGUGAUAAGCUGCGAAAAGCCACGGGGAGGAGCAAAUAUCCUUUGAGCCGUGGAUAUCCGAAUGGGGGAACCCACUUAAGUAAACCUUAAGUACUGACAAGCCAAUACAUAACUUGCCAGAGGGAACCCGGGGAACUGAAACAUCUAAGUACCCGGAGGAAGAGAAAGAAACAUCGAUUUCCUUAGUAGCGGCGAGCGAAAGGGAAAGAGCCCAAACCGAGAGAUUUAUCUUUCGGGGUUAGGACUGCAUAAUUGAUCUGCGAUUGAUAGGAGAAUGGUCUGGGAAGUCCAGCAGGAAAGCGUGAAAGCCGCGUAUCCGAAAUUGAAAGCAGCAAGGCAGUAUCCAGAGUACCACGAGACACGAGGAACCUUGUGGGAAUGAGCGGAGACCACUCCGUAAGGCUAAAUACUACUCAGUGACCGAUAGCGCAUAGUACUGUGAAGGAAAGGUGAAAAGGACCCCGGGAGGGGAGUGAAAGAGAACCUGAAACCCUGUGUUUACAAGCUGUCGGAGCACGAUAAGUGCGACGGCGUACUUUUUGUAGAACGGUCCGGCGAGUUAUGAUACGCGGUAAGGUUAAGGACUUAAGGUCCGGAGCCGAAGCGAAAGCGAGUGUUAAGAGCACGAGGAAUCACGUAUCAUAGACCCGAAACCGGGUGAUCUAUCCAUGUCCAGGAUGAAGCUGCCGUAAGAGGUAGUGGAGGUCCGAACACACAUCCGUUGAAAAGGGUGGUGAUGAGGUGUGGAUAGGGGAGAAAUUCCAAUCGAACCCGGAGAUAGCUGGUUCUCCUCGAAAUAGCUUUAGGGCUAGCCUUCAGUUAGUCUGCCGCAGGUAGAGCACUGAAUUUCCUAGGGGGCGUCAAAGCCUACCGAAGAAUAUCAAACUGCGAAUGGCGGACAGAUGAUGCUGGGGAGUCAGACUGCACGAGAUAAGUUGGGUGGUCAAAAGGGAAAGAGCCCAGACCUACAGCUAAGGUCCCAAAGUGCGUGUUAAGUGGAAAAGGAUGUGGGAUUUCGAAGACAACUAGGAUGUUGGCUCAGAAGCAGCCACACAUUAAAAGAGUGCGUAAUAGCUCACUAGUCGAGAGGUCCUGCGCCGAAAAUGUCCGGGGCUAAAACACAACACCGAAGCUUAGGAAUUCUAAUGAAUUGGUAGAGGAGCAUUGAAGACGGAACGAAGCCAUACCGAAAGGAAUGGUGGACUGUCUUGAAGAGAGAAUGCCGGAAUGAGUAGCGAGAUUGAAGUGAGAAUCUUCAAGGCCGAAUAUCUAAGGUUUCCAGGGUAAAGCUGAUCUGCCCUGGGUAAGUCGGGGCCUAAGGCGAGGUCGAAAGACGUAGCCGAUGGACAACAGGUUGAAAUUCCUGUACUGCGAUAUAUCAGAAAUGUGGGGACACAGAAGGAAAGUGUGAGCCGGGAAAGGAAAGACCGGUGCAAGCACAGGAGGAGAGAUACAGGCAAAUCCGUAUUUCAAUCCAAUGGUGUUACGCGGAGCGAACAAAAGUAGCGAAGCACACAGACCAUCUGUCGAGAAAAGCCGCUAUUGUGUAUACCGUACCCGUACCGUAAACCGACACAGGUGGAUGAGGAGAGAAUCCUAAGGCCGGCGGGAGAAGCAUUGUUAAGGAACUCGGCAAAAUGACCCCGUAACUUCGGGAGAAGGGGUGCUCACGCAAGUGAGCCGCAGAGAACUGGCCCAAGCAACUGUUUAGCAAAAACACAGGUCUAUGCAAAACCGAAAGGUGAGGUAUAUGGGCUGACGCCUGCCCGGUGCUGGAAGGUUAAGAGGAGAUGUUAGAGCAAUCGAAGCAUUGAAUUUAAGCCCCAGUAAACGGCGGCCGUAACUAUAACGGUCCUAAGGUAGCGAAAUUCCUUGUCGGGUAAGUUC